GGGUUGUGAGGUUAAGCGACUAAGCGUACACGGUGGAUGCCCUGGCAGUCAGAGGCGAUGAAGGACGUGCUAAUCUGCGAAAAGCGUCGGUAAGGUGAUAU
rnacentral:rRNA from 2 species